AAGAGGGAAGCUUUUUCAUGAGGCUAAUUCAAUAAGGCAGACAGGUGGUAGUAGAGAGGGGUACAGACAGGGGGCAGUAGAGAGGGGUACAGACAGGGGGCAGUAGAGUGGGGUACGGACAGGGAAUUGAAUCGCUGGCAGCUUAGGGGUAUUUAGUAUUUUGACCAAAAACCCCAAAAUCCAACAUAUGGUUUUAAGUAGAUGAAGUGUUGGGAUUGUUCUCACAAGUGUAGAUCAUCAGCAGUGGGAAAAAUACUGCAAGAAACCGACUGAACUACACAUUUAAAGCAAUUUACAGUAUCUUAUGAAAGAAGGGAAAAUAAAUCCUGGGACACUGACUUGAAUCAAAGUGUACAUGUCUAUGAAUUUUCCAAUAUUCAAACUCUUCCAUAAAGUUCACAUGUACGUUUGUAACAUGAAGUUCAACCGUUUAAGUGAUGUUAAUCAUGUAUAAUUUCAAUAUUGUUUCUCUUUGUAGACGUCAGAGGAAGAUGAAGAGUCGUCGUUAAAUGAGAUGAUCCGUCUCUCUCGACUCUCUCGAGCAUCCAAACCUCAGACAGUAUGAAGAUGGUCUCAAUGACGUGAAAAGGAUCCUUUAUGGUCAACACAAGAACACAAGAAGGGCCAGAUUAUGUGUACCCACAAUGCACUUUGCUGUACUGUUCUUUGCUAAUUGGUACACUGAAUUAUGACAUCAUUCAUCUGUAAAUAUCAUUUAACUCACAUUCCUGGGAAAGCCUAGCUAACAAACAUAGCUUUAGUUAAUGCUGCCAAAACGCUCAUCAUGAUGUUAGCAAUCUGUUGCUGUUGCAAUUUCUAAUUAAUUCAUUUUCACCUCAUUUGCCUACUGCUUUUUUCUGUUUUACAGAGCUCCUAAAGUCAGCUUAGAGGAACGCUGCACUUGAAUGGUGCAUUAUGACAGGGUUAUGUUAAUAAAUUUAUGUUACUUGUUUUGCAUUUGUAUUGUGUGAUUUUCAAAAAAAUUAAA